rnacentral:lncRNA from 1 species
AGGAGAUGACGCAGAAACAGCCAUCGAGCGAGGCGAUCAGUAGAGGCUGCAGCUCCCACAGCUCGCGUUUCUGUUUUGGCGGCGUGCGCUCGCGUGUGGAUGGAGCUCGUACGCCAGGAAGAACUGGCGUCUCGAUGGAGCUCGUACGCCAGGAAGAACUGGCGUUCGUUGGACCUCGUCCUCGUUCAUGGGUUGCGGAGCUGUUUUUUUAUUGACUGGGCGCGAUCGUGGGGUUCCACGGACUUGUCGUUCGUGUGUAGAACCGUGGAUCUCGUACGUGGGCUGAGUUGGUGUAUUCUUUUUGUUUGCGGGUGCUGAGUUGGUGAUUUUUCGUACGUGGGCUGAGUUGGUGGGCUGCUGCGUGCGUGUGGCAGUUCGGGCCAUGGUUUUUGUUCGAAGGGAGGGGGAUCGAUCGAGGUCGUACCAUCACGACGUUUGAUCCCCUUUAAUAGUAGAGAUACUAGUGUCCACUGCAUACCACAUACAAGUGUGCCGUUGAAAAUAAAAUUCAUGCUGCACAUGCACAUGCUGCACAAAUAUACACAGGGUGUGUCAAUGAUGCUACAAGGAAACCGAUAAUUUCACUAGAAGUUGAUCGAUGAUGCGGCAAGGAGACCUAUAAUGAUGCGACAAUAAAGUUCACCAGAAAUUAUAUUAAUCAAGAUCUAUUAUCUGUACCCAUCUAUGUACAUUACAACAAGUAUAUACAACCUUACAUGCAUCGACACACAUACAUCCAGAAGGAGCUGCUAUGAUGCAUCCAACGACCAACAAAGAACAGAUCGAGGAAGAACUCAACGGUGACCGACAGNNNNNNNNNNNNNNNNNNNNNNNNNNNNNNNNNNNNNNNNNNNNNNNNNNNNNNNNNNNNNNNNNNNNNNNNNNNNNNNNNNNNNNNNNNNNNNNNNNNNGGAGAGUUGGGGAAGAGCGACGAGGGCGUGGCCCGUUGGGGCGGUCGUGGGCGGCGGGGAGCCGCAACAGUGACCGGCAGGGGAGAGUUGGGGAAGAGCGACGAGGGCGUGGCCCAUUAGGGCGGUCGUGGGCGGCGGGGAGCCGCCAUGGGAGAGUGCGUGGUCGUCGACGGCUAGAGGGGCGUCGGAUCCGGCUGGCGGUGUGGUCCCAGAUGGCGGCGGCGCUCGGUCGCGAGGGGCGGGGAGGAGGGUGGGAGCUAGCUCCGCGAACGGGGACGGGUCGGGGAGGCGGGGUGGCCAGCUCCGGCCGGCGAGCUCCGUCGGGCGGAGAGGCCGGAGAUCGGUGACCGCAGUAUGACCUACCCUGGCCUCUGCUUUCUCUCGAGCAGAAUGGGGGAAUGGGGUGGGGGUGGGAUCCGAGGGAAUUUUCUGAAGGGGCGCCUCGUAUAUAUAUGAAUGGCAUUUUCUCUAUAAUUACUAGGAAGUAGAAGGGCAGGGUUUUGCGGGAGGGUGAGAAGCCGGUGGGGGCGGGGAAAGCUCGUCCGGAGGAGCUUUUGCUUCACAGUGUAUUUGGACUGGAUAUUUUAAAUGAGUGCUUUUUAUAGAAUAUAUUUUGACAAAAAAAUAAUAUCAUAGGUAAUUCAAAAUCUAUGAACAUGGACAAACUUGUAUUUAAAUGUAGAUAAUAACUAAAUCAUCCGUGAAAUUAGCACAUCCCUUAAAACACCAGACACAAACAAAUAUGAUGAAACAGUCACCUACAUAGUACAUACAAACCAAGUACGUGAUAACUACACUUACAAAUUGAAACACACAAUCAUGCGUAAUAGGCAUAACCAAUGUCUACUAUCUCUACUACAUGCGCCGAGCUUUCUUUGUAUACAUCCUGGAGUGUUUGACAAAAAACUACCACAUUAGGGGUUACCGUCCCACAGAACUGCCACAUUUAAAAAAGUGACUGAUAACUAUCAAUUUUUUUAAUUUUGUGACUAAAAACUACCACUUUCGAAAAAUGGUCAGUUUAGAUGAUUUAAACAUGUUUAUGCCAUGCGGGACUCACCCGUCAGGGCUGACGUGGAGGCAAAGUCAACUCUGUUGAUUUUGACCGUUACGUUGACCGUUAUUACAAGUGGGGCCCACCUGUCAGCAUCACUCUUCUUCCUCCUCUCUCUCUUUGCCAUUUCCUCGAACACCUCGUGUGCACUCGCAAGGCACCUCCGUCGUCCUCAACUGCUGGCGCUCACCUCUCCCCAUGCCUCGAUCCCGUCUGGAUCGGGAGAGCCCGAGCUGCCCAACCACUCCGGCGACCGCCUCUCCCCCUCGCGUCACUCUGGCGAGGUCCUCUGCCGGCGACCACCUAGCUAGUACUCGCACGCACGAACCAACCUAGCUAGCACUCCCACAAACCUACAAGGCACGCGUACGCUCAAGCAUUGGCCACUAAAUUCUUGUUCAAAGAAUUAAACGGCAACACACACGCACGCUCAAGUAUCGGCCUUGGUCCGAGCUACCACAUGAGCUCCUGGGGCUCUUCGUCGCCCACCUCCCGUCCUCCGUGCAGUUGCAGCCGGCGCGCGAGGCCACGGCGCCGGAUGCCGCCAAGCUCGCACGCCUCGUCGAGGAGCUGCAAGAGCGAGAGUCCCGCCUGCGCACCGACUUGCUCGAGCACAAAAUCCUCAAGGAGACCAUCGUCGAGGAGCUGCGUCGGGUGGUGGCGUCGACGGCCUCGAAGGAAAUUUCGUCACCUUCGACGGCCGCUUCCACAGCUCCAGCCACCUUGGUUGCGCCACCGUUCCUGUCCCCAACCAACGCCAAUGACGUGCUGCGUCGGGGCGUCACCAUGGAGGAGUUCGGAGCUCAAGCCCGGAUGCACACAAGGUGUUCGAGGAAAUGCCAGAGAGAGGAGGAAGAAGAAGGGUGAUGCUGACAGGUGGGCCCCACUUGUAAUAACGGUCAAUGUAAUGGUCAAAAUAAAUAGAGUUGACUUUGCCGCCACGUCAACCCUGACAGGUGGGUCCCGCAUGUCAUAAAUGUGUUUAAAUCGUCUAAACUGACCAUUUUUCAAAAGUGGUAGUUUUUAGUCACAAAAUUAGAAAUUUUUGGUAGUUAUCAGUUUUGAAUGUGGUAGUUCUGUGGGACGGCAACCCCUAAUGUGGUAGUUUUUUGUCAAAUACUCAUACAUCCUGUGUCGGGGAUCCUUUGUAGACAACUCGCUUGCUAGAAAAGCCCACCUCCACUCAAUAAAUUGCUGAACAAACUUCAUAUCAAUCAACCCACCUAUUAUUUAGUAAAAUAACCAGAUUCAUCCCUGUAGAUGAAUACACUAUCAUUAUCUUGGGAGGUUAUGACAAUAAAUAUAAAAUGUGCAUAUUGAUUUUCAGAGUAACUUACCGGUCUACGCUCGUCGGAACAUCAAUUGGUGAUUUACGUGGCCAGAAAAAUGUAUCAGACUUCCAACCCGGUUGUGCUAAUUCGAGUGCAUCAUUCAGGUAGAAUGCAACCCUCUGAAAUUUUAAUGCAUAUCUCUCUGAAGAUAAGGACGGAAUAAGUGGGUCCAAAAUAGAUACUUGACGGGCAUGUUUGUCGAUUGCGAACAAGAUGAAGUGGCCGAGGAAUGCAUGAGGAAGCAAUAUCUACAAGUAACACUCAUUUAGAAUAAAUGUUAAUCACGACUACCAUAUAAAAUAGAACAAACUUACCCAAUUGCAUGAUGAGAUGGUGUGGUCUAUCUCAGUCGAGCUACGAAGCAAUGAUGCUAGCGCCUGAAUAUCUGGCUAUACCCGCGAAUCUAAAUCUCGUAAGGAAGUGAGGGCAGCUUCAAUCACGGCCGUCUGGGUAAAAAAUGGUUAAGGAACAUGAUGGUGACAAUGAUAAUAAUAAUUUGUGAUGUGCGAUAACUUACACAAAAUUGUAGAUCCAUAAAGCGCACGGGAGGAUCUCUUGUCAGUAAGGCCUCGUCACUUGCAAGUAUACAUAUAGCCAUGUUGAAACAAUCAAUGUCCAACGGCUGGUCCCUGCGGAUUAUACCUUUGAUCCUUCUAAGACUUAAUCCUAUCGGAUGGGGUUUAGAACUUCGCACCCACUCCUUCCUGUAGAUAACAGUUAAUAAUUGUAACAUUGUAAUAGUGUAUAUUGAAACUUUAUACUUCUUAGACAUGCUCCUUACUCCAAGGAAGUAGCAUCAUUAAUUGACAUGAUGUGGUUGCAUAGUUCAUCAACUAAAUCUUGCGGGUCCACGGCCAUGAUGGGGUUCCGAAGGGGGCCUUUGUCUUCGGCUCCAUCAUGUGAAUCUUGCCGCUUACGCUUUCGGUCCUCCAGAAACUCAACAUCAGAAUCAGAUACAUUUUCUUCAUUGUCAGAUACAUUUUCUUCAUUGUCAGUCCGAUAAUAUAUUGGACUUCCUUUUAACUUAUUAAGUUCUGUCUCCAACAAUAUGACAGCUAAUUUUCGUCGAAAUUCUUUCAUGUCCUCCUACAUAUAGUAAUUAAAAAUAAUUUGUUAAAAAGCACCAUUGAGAUGAAAUCUGUUAUUAAGAAAAAAAGAGAUACCUGAGUGAAAUUAUCAGACAAAAUAUCUCCAGUCCAAUACUCCAUACAAUUUAACAUAAACAAUCCACAUGACGCGCUACAAUAUCAAAAUAUUUCUUUAGGCUUUCAUCUCAAUAUAAAUAAAGUAUUUAAACAAGUAAUAAUGUUCAUUGUACAUGUCUCCAUUUAUUGUCCAAUGUAUAUCUAUUACCUCAAUGUUUUGGCUAACAAAUAAGACCAUAUUUUGCAUCAAUAAUGUUUUCACAAGACUUACUAUUCUAUCAUAAAUUUCUCUAUAAUCCAGUUCGGAUUACGAGAUGUGUUCAUCAUACCUAUCUGUUUGGAUUGGCUCUUGGAACUUGUCUACGACUGUCCAAUUCAUAAUAUCGAGGUCCUGCCACCUAUCACCUCUCUUAAACUCCGGCAUAUCACAUGCGAUUUUUAGAUGUUUGUCAAGUCCUUGUAACUAUUAAAUGGAAAAAUUGUCACUACAUAUUAGAGCAAAGAGAAUGUAAUGUAUAGAGGAAAACACAAUAAGCAGACAUUUACCGUCAUAGUGAGGUCACUGCGGCCCAUUCCAACUCCAAGCGAGUCCAGUACCUGUAUCUCUCGUUUCUUCGCAUUGAUUACUGAUAGAUACCAGUGGCAUUUUCUGAUGUUAAUUGGAAGGAAUACCUGAAGUAAUAAAUAUUAUAUAACACGUAACCACUUUCAGGUAAAAAGAUGUGCUUCAUUAUAUUAUAAGUGUAGUGAGUUAAGACUGACCAUGUCAUGCUCCAGAAAAGUAUUCACUCGCUUUACAAUGUGGCGAUGUGUUGCCGGGUCUAUCUUAUCUUUCUUAAACAGGGAAGACACAAAUCGUGCUUGCUAUGUGUACCUUUCCAUCUGCUCUAUUUUGCAGAUGCUCCUGGGCACUUAUGCAGUAUAUGUAUGCAUUUAUUACCUAUAAUUUCAAAGAUAUAAUACAUUUAAAUUUUGAGACACUGAUGUUUAAUUACGAGAGUUUGUGUGGUUUGACUUACAUCAUCAUGCAAAAACACAUCAUCAUGUGUAAGGCAUCUCAUCUCAACGUUCGUUAAUAAUGCAUCAUUGAUGUGCACCAACUUCGUUUUUUCAUGUAAGGACAUGAUUGAUUUAAUAAUGGAAAUAUCGUCCGCUGUGCAAAUAUAAUCUGUCAUGGGACAACGUGAAGCCAAAUUAGUUACAUAUAAAAAAGGCCAAUGAAAUGAUAAGGUUGAUAAUCACUGUGAAAGUAAAUACCUUGUGGUGUAAUAUUUGUAUUUGCUCUUCUUGGUUUGUUAUGACGCGAAUUUGCUAUUAUUUCUAUCUGCACAUCGAUCUUGUUGAUAGGUUCUUUUUCAUGGUUAACAAUAUCCAUAUCUGUCAGUGGCACAUUCUGCAAAGUGAAAUAUAUAUAGAAAUAUAUGAAUUAAAUAUAGUUCUGCCAUAUUUUUUUCAGGAAUAGUAUAAUAAUUCAUAUGCAACAUGCAAAAUAAAAGAUUAAAAAGACAGACAUCUAAGAAAUUUGAUAGCAGUGACAGACUGUUUAAAUACCUUGGUUCUACUCCUUCCGUUCUUAAAUACCUCGGUUCAAACAUCGACUACAUACGAAGCGAAAUGAGUGAUUCUACACUCUAAAGUAUGUCUUAUACGUAUGUAUGUAGUCUUUUAUUAAAAUCUAUAAAAAAAUAUACUUCGUAUUUAGGAACCAAGGAAGUGCAGCUGUGACUCUCAGUCUCACUCUCUCCUCACCGCUCUCACUUUCUCCUCACCGCUUAGCCCUUUUCCCUUCAGCUACCACCUACCCAGCUCCCCUGUGCAGCCGUCGGCGCGUCAUGGGGCGCAUCCGCACGGCGCGCGACGGUGCGAGGCGAGGAACCAAUCCCUGGCCCAACCUCCCAUCCCCCCGCCUCCGAACCAUUCUUACGGCCUGGCUGCGCCCUCGCGAGCAUCCCACACCCACUCCCAUCACUCCCUGGUGUCCGACGAGAUCCGCCGGGCAGGGCUCUCGCGGACGCACGCGCAGUCUGGGCGGCGGCAUCCACCGCGCAGCGCCCCCUGCCCCGACACGCCGGUCGGAAUCUUCUGCUGGCAACGCCCGGCGACCGGCGCGCGCCGUGCAGCCCGAGGAGACCCUGCAGCAAGCCGUGCUCGCCCGGAUGGGCAGAGUACGAGCAGGAGUGGAUUCCGUGGUGCACCACGACGUCGAUGGCUUCUCUUCGCCACCGAGCUCUGCUCCCCUCCCUGUGCAUCAGGAUGAAGGUGCUCACGAAUCUUACCUUGUCACGGUCGACUCCCCUCUCUCCCUCCGCGUUCUGCAUUGGUAGGUCUGUUGGAUUGGCACCGCCGGUGAAGCAAAAAACUGGAGGUUGAUUGAAUCUCUCCUAUAUAUAAGGUUAGCUAGAUGUGUAGUAUCGGUAUACGGUUAGGAUAAGGUUGUUUAUUUAGUGAGAUGAGGAUUAAACCUUUCUUGGGGUUGUUCGGAUUGGAUACGGACUUUCUGCCAAUUCUGUUUCCCAUAAACUCGUUUAAAGGGCUAACCACAUGAAAUUUGUUAGCGUACCCAAAAUUAUAGUUUUUUUAGGGACAGAAUUAGUAAAACUUGGUUUUAGUAGAACAGGCAAAGAACUUUGGUCAAGGAGGCUAGCUUCCUCUUCCUGGAGAUUGGAUCUGCCAAUCCUGACCAAAUUUUGAAUUGUACAGACCCACAAUGCAUUUCAACAAAGCCAAACACAAUGUCAGAAUCAUACAGAUUUAUGCAAGGUAACCUGACAUAAAAGUCAGUACUCUACAAUGGUGACAGUCAUACUAAUGUACAAUUUGUAAAAAUCGAAUGCAAAGCUUGGUCUGCAUCUUUUGGCAAAUAGCAUAAGGUUGAUGUUUCUAAUCCUGUACAUGGUACUUUGGAAUCACCUUCUUCAUUGAAUUUUGAGGCCUGAAAUUGAUGUUUAAGAACGUGUUAGAAAUUAAGGACAGCUGCAUGCUAAAUCUUAUCACAGAGGUACAGAAAAAAGCAGAUCAACAUAUUAUGUUCCUUUUCUUCAUAUCGAAGUAUCUGUCGCCUAGAAAAACUCAUCCUUUAAUAGUUGAGAUAGUAGAGAUAUGAGGAGAUCACUGAUGGCUUCACUCAGCUUGGGUUCUUCAUUAAUUAUCAGAUACAUAGUUCCUUGUCCAUGUAUUAGUCCCUGACAGUAGUAUGGGGUUGAAUAUCGCAGGGCGCGUCUGUAGCCGGUAACAGUAGUAGUCCCUGACAGAGACACACAACCGGCUGUUCCCCUCUGUGGAAAGACGUGAAAGAAGAAGGUUAGGUACCAUAUGGAAGGACAGAGAACUUUUUCUGGCAUAUAAGCAUACCAACCAGGCGCACCUGAAUCGUUAUCACGGUUUCCUCUUGGUUGUUGUGCAACCUCCCAAGGGACAUUGUGCUUAGGGAUAUUUGGAUGCCAACCAAGCUCCCCCCUUGGAAAAAAGAGGGGAUACGAGAGCGGGUCAUAACAGCCAUCUGUGGCAUGUAUACUAUACUUCUCGUUGGUGUCCCCAUAGAGUGUAAUGCUGCGGUUGAACCUGUUUGCUAGAUCGCUUCCCUCGACCCAAAUCGCAGCCACCUCGGAUGACACGGGUCUAUUAUAUCUUCGUUGGUCUAGCUUCUGGUCAAUGUUGAGGUCUAUCCGGUACUCCUCGAGGUUUUCCUUGUGGGCACCCAAACUCCUAAACUGUUGGGAGUAGGGGUUUUCCCUGAGGACGUCCACUAACUUGCUGACAACGUGCUGGUCCAAUUGCUUGGUGGCCUCCUUGCGAUGGCUUAAGCUUGGAUCGUCAUCGUAGAAGUACAACUGCAGAUGUUCAGGGCGAGAUCUUGGACCGAACGAGUGCACCCUGUGGUACAUAGUGCCAUGUGCCCGAAACGUGUACACCCCGGACUUCAUGUUUGUGUAGUUGUUGUCUAGGCUGACGCCAAGGGUAGUGAAGGCAAAGUGCCCGUUGAAGAACCGAAUGCUCUCCCGGAAAUGCCGAGAGUCUGCAUCCGCGCUAGACCAUAACCUCAUCAGCUCUGGGAUAGGCUCGGGUUCAGCUAGCUCAAUCUCCCCGUUCCGACAGCAGAAGCCGUCAGUCUCGUACUGGAACUUCUUGGCCUUGCAAUGCUCGCAGUUUGCCGCGUGCUUUAGGAUGUGUGUGCUGUCUGGGAUGUUCGAGUAGACAUAGUCGAAAGGAUCUAGGUCGAUAGAUCCCGUGUUGGAGGAUUCUACGGGCUCAUCGAGGUCCGUGCUAUCAGUGUCGGAUGCUGCAAGCAUUGUGGAGAUAUAACAAGUCACGAUGGGAUGCACAUCAUAAACCAAUAAUAUAGAGGGAUGAGCAGCGAAAGGCGCCUCGGAGUACCUUCACCGGCAAAUAGGUAGUACUCAUCAUCCAUGAGGUCACCGGAGAGUGCAUUCUCGUCCAUGAUGCCGCUAAGGAAGGCCUCCAUGUCAGCUGUAACAUUGUUGAGCCGGUAAGUAAUGGUUUUUAUUGUGAGUGCACACCAGGAGGGGAGUAAACAUGAGAGGGUUACCAUUGGUUCCGAUGGUGUACGAUGGCAUGCUUGAUGAAGGGGAGGAAGCCGGUGAAGCAACUCCUGUGGGCGGUGCUUCUGAGCUUGUUGCUGCUCUGUUCACAUCUAAGGUACUUGCAUCUGGGCCUGGAGGCCUCCGCUUUUUUUGAAAGCUUGCAUUACGACGAUCUAGCAAAGCUGACUUCUCACCUUCUGGUAUGCUUUCCCCGCGCGCUCUUCGUUUUAAGGCACUCCCUUGAAUGUUCUUUGCUGUAAUACUUUGUUUGUGAGCUCGCUCCCGAGCCCUACGCUGUGCUCUGCUCUCCUGCCUCUGCUCCUGGGCUUGAUUCUGCUGGUCGUCUAUUUGGUGAUCAUUGGUUUGCUGCGAGGGAUUUAUGAGUUCGCUGGGGGCAUCAUUAUCAUCCAGGGUACGACUAAGGUACUCGCCUGCACCGCUGUGGAGCCGUUAAAUACUGGUUCAAUGCACAUGGACAGAACAAGUAGAGUAAAGAUGGAAGGAUUACCGUCUGAUUCGAAGUUGUUCCCAGCCUUACUCGCAAACCGGGGGGCAGGGGCAGGAGCUGAAGCUUCGGAUUCUCUGAAUGCCAACGCAUGAGUGCUCGACAUCAGGUUGGGUGUAGCUAAGGCACCUGCAUCAGGGCGCGGCAUUGCAAUGAAUUCAGCGCAAGGGGUGUUGUGCCUAGCCGCGAGUCUCUUCUUGCGCUGAGCUAGCAUGUUCUGCUUCUCCUUAGGUGAUUUGUUUUGCAGACGUGUUCUUCGGCGGGUGUUUGUCUCUUGGUUGUCAUGGACUGCCAUAUUUUGGUAGGCCGCCCUUCUAAGGGUGUUACUCUGUUGCUUCUCCUCUGGUGUCAUUCGUUGCCUGGCUUCUCUUUGACGGGCACUCCUCUCCUACUCUGUUUUUUUCCUAGCUUCUCUGCGACGUGCAUUGAUUUCCUCCUUCUGUUCAGGUGUUAAUCUAUUUCGCCGUGCCAUAUAUUGGUCUCGCCUUUUCUGUUUUCUAUCUGAUUUAAUGAUAUCAUUUGAAGCAAUGUGCUCGGGGACAGUGUCUUCAGUGUCGAGUCCAAGUGCUAUGUUUGAACCAAUAUUAUGAUCAAUGCUUCUCUCUGUUCCUCGAAGUGAUGCAUGGUGAUCAUAGUAAGUGCCUUCACGAGAAUGAUUUCCUGAAGAACCAUUUUGUUUUAACAAAUGUAUAAAUGCAAACUGAAAAAAAGUCGUGUGUAAGGGCGAUACCGAUUGAUGUUUCCACAUGCGGCAUUGGCUGAAAGGCCUUGAGAUUGCUGGCUAUAGGAAUCAUCAUAGGCAGUUGCGUCGGCACAUUGUCAUCAUCAUCAGAAGACGAAACACUAUAGUUAGUAGUGCCUGUUUGUUCGCGUAUGAAAAAACCAGAUGGUGGUCGGUGUGUAUUGGUGAGUUGUGAUCUGGGUGUCCUCUCAUAUUCGACAACUGAUAAGAUUAAUGUAAGUUAAGUUGUGAAGCUUAUUGAAUACCUUAUGUGCAGACAUGUGAUUGGCAUACACAUACCUUUUUUUCCUUUAUCAUAGAGAUGCUCUCUGUCCUGUGACAUCUUUCUGUCCUAUAGAAGCUUAAAUAAACCUGCAGUCUUUUUGCAUUAAAAAAUGAUAUGAAUUGAAUUACAAAAAUGAUAUGACCUCUGGUGACUCAUUUAACAGGCUUUUUGGGCUCACUUGUUCAUUUUGAUAGACAUGUUCUUCGCAUAUGGUUUUAAAAUGAUUGUGCUAUUAUAUGUUGACGGCUGAAGUUUGUAUAUUUCAGUUUAUAAAGUGCAAGAUUUUGUAGAAGUUCAAUUUUUUAAAAAGAGGGCUUAGACAUGGCGACAAGAAUGAAGGUGGAGGGGAAGGAGUGGAGAGAAAGAUGUCUGUCUCCACGUGGUGCGAAAAAGACUAUACAGGAUUCUGUAUUAUGUCGCGUUAAAACAAUCUGGAAUAUAAAGGAUUCUGGAGGUGAGCUUAAAUGAAAGUAUUUCCUUCUAUCACUAUUCCUGUCGCGAGGCAUGUUUGUUCCCAUGAUGUAAAAGUAAACAUGGUCUGAGGUUACCUAAUCUUAUACUGCAAUUUCAGAAUUUCCUAGAUUUUUUUUUGACAGUUUCAACACAUGUUCUUCUUACUAAAAUGAACCUGCAGUCUUUUUGCAUUAAAAAUGAUAUGAAUUGAAUUACAAAAAUUAUAUGACCUCUGGUGACUCAUUUAACAGGCUUUUUGGACUCACUUGUUCAUUUUGAUAGACAUGUUCUUCGCAUAUGGUUUUAAAAUGAUUGUGCUAUUAUAUGUUGACGGCUGAAGUUUGUAUAUUUCAGUUUAUAAAGUGCAAGAUUUUGUAGAAGUUCAAUUUUUUAAAAAGAGGGCUCAGACAUGGCGACAAGAAUGAAGGUGGAGGGGAAGGAGUGGAGAGAAAGAUGCCUGUCUCCACGUGGUGCGAAAAAGACUACAGGAUUCUGUAUUAUGUCGUGUUAAAACAAUUUGGAAUAUAAAGGAUUCUGGAGGUGAGCUUAAAUGAAAGUAUUUCCUUCUAUCACUAUUCCUGUCACAAGGCAUGUUUGAACAUGGUCUGAGGUUACCUAAUCUUAUACUGCAAUUUCAGAAUUUCCUAGAUUUUUUUUGACAAUUUCAACAGUCUUUUUGCAUUACAAAAAUGAUAUGGCAUACUAUAGGACUUUAGCAAUAUCCUUUACGGAUCAGGGCAAUAUUCUUUACGGAACAGGGUCUCCAAUAUAUGAACUUAACCGUGCGAACAGAACAGGUGGCAUAACUCAUUAGAUUUUGUAACUUUGCGGAAUAAGUGCUAAUGUAGUUGGAGUAAAAGUUAAAGAUGCAAUAUGAGUACUAACAAUAUGAAGUAUUGAACAGGAGUCUAGGAUGGCAAAACUGGGGCGUGAUGGGCAGCAUGAAACAUAACAAAGGUGGAUAUCCGUCAUUUGCCGUCGGAGAGGAAGAAGACGGUAGGCGGGCUCAGAAGAUGACGCAGAAACAGCCGUCGAGCGAGGCGAUUAGCAGAGGCUGCAGCUCCCACAGCUCGCGUUUCUGUUUUGGCAGCGUGCGCUCGCGUGUGGAUGGAGCUCGUACGCCAGGAAGAAUUGGCGUCUCGAUGGAGCUCGUACGCCAGGAAGAACUGGCGUUCGUUGGACCUCGUCCUCGUUCGUGGGUUGCGGAGCUGUUUUUUUAUUGACUGGGGGCUCAGGAGAUGACACAGAAACAGCCGUCGAGCGAGGCGAUCAGCAGAGGCUGCAGCUCCCACAACUCGCGUUUCUGUUUUGGCGGCGUGCGCUCGCGUGUGGAUGGAGC